UACGUAGGGACCGAGCGUUGUCCGGAAUCAUUGGGCGUAAAGAGCGUGUAGGCGGCCACUUAAGUCCUGCGUGAAAUCUUGCGGCUCAACCGCAAGCGGUCGUGGGAAACUGGGUGGCUAGAGUGCGGGAGAGGAGAGUGGAAUUCCGUGGUGUAGCGGUGGAAUGCGCAGAUAUCAGGAAGAACACCCGUGGCGAAGGCGGCUCUCUGGAACGCAACUGACGCUGAGACGCGAAAGCGUGGGGAUCAAACAGG
rnacentral:rRNA from 1 species